GGGGGUGAUCGGCUUCGACUUAGGAGUGGAGCUAAGGGUUGCAUGUCGGCGGGUGGGCCAGCCGUAAGAGGCUUACAACAAAACAAAUGCAAAUAACUUUGCAAACAUCCCUGUUAACGUAGGUUAAUAGGACUUUUAUGCUUGGUGCUUCAACGAGCAUAAAAGGUCAUUACUGAAGCUAAGGGCAAUUUUUUAAUCUUGGGAAAUUUCCACGAAAAACUUACAAGGUUGCUUUUUAUCGGAUCCUGCUUAUCGGAGACGCUAAAAAAAAGAACAAAAGGUGAGCUAAACAUGUAGACGCCUUUUUUGAAACUCUUAAGGACGCGGGUUCGAUUCCCGCCACCUCCAUUU
rnacentral:tmRNA from 1 species